ACGGAGGAUCCAAGCGUUAUCCGGAUUUAUUGGGUUUAAAGGGUGCGUAGGCGGCCUGUUAAGUCAGGGGUGAAAUUUUUCGGCUCAACCGGAAGCUUGCCUUUGAUACUGAUGGGCUUGAUUACACUUGAGGUAGGCGGAAUGUGACAAGUAGCGGUGAAAUGCAUAGAUAUGUCACAGAACACCAAUUGCGAAGGCAGCUUACUAAGGUGUUAAUGACGCUGAGGCACGAAAGCGUGGGGAUCAAACAGGAUUAGAUACCCUGGUAGUCCACGCCCUAAACGAUGAAUACUCGAUGUUAGCGAUAUACCGUUAGCGUCAAAGCGAAAGCGUUAAGUAUUCCACCUGGGGAGUACGCCCGCAAGGGUG
rnacentral:rRNA from 1 species